AAGUCGUAACAAGGUUUCCGUAGGUGAACCUGCGGAAGGAUCAUUACCAAAUCCAAAAAACUUUAUCAACACCCCAAUGUGAACUAUGAAUGGUUUCGUUCCCUCGAACAGAUUUCGGGAUCUUGCUAAAAACAAGCUCCGAGCUGUGAGAGGGAAUGUUAUAAUUUUCAACCCCUUUACAACUAUACAACUAUUAUUUAUGCUGAAAGCAAAAACAAACGAAACAUGAGACAACUUUUAACGGUGGAUCUCUUGGCUCGU
rnacentral:misc_RNA from 1 species